UUGAUAAUGGAGACUAGGCAAUUAAAAAUCAUUCUGUUCUAAAUCCCAUUGCACAGUAUAAUGAAGCUGAACCUAAGAUAUCACUUAGAAUUCAUUACUGUGAAUUCAGUGUCCCCAGAACUACUCAAAAUGCUUCAUAAAUGCUUUCAGUGUCAAAUGAAAUGCCACCAACUAAGUUUAUCUUAUCUUGGGAACUAGCCUGUUUGUUUGAAGGAAAGGAUAAACAAUAAGUAUUGUAUCUUUUAUGAGGAAGAGAAAUAGCAAAAUCUCUACAAGCCAGCUGACUUUAGGAGAAGAGUGAAUAAGUAGAAAAAGCAGCUUCCAAAAGCUGUAUUAAAGAAAUAUCAUUUCAAUUAUGUUUUGCUCAGUUUAUUGAGAUUAACUGCUUAUACUGGUUCAACUUACCAAAUAUUGUUUUCUAAUUUUUCAUGUCACCCUGCUUGUGAAGACACAAU
rnacentral:lncRNA from 1 species